rnacentral:rRNA from 1 species
GACGAACGCUGGCGGCGUGCUUAACACAUGCAAGUCGAGCGGAAAGGCCCUGCUUUUGUGGGGUGCUCGAGUGGCGAACGGGUGAGUAACAAGUGAGUAACCUGCCCUUGACUUUGGGAUAACUUCAGGAAACUGGGGCUAAUACCGGAUAGGAGCUCCUGCUGCAUGGUGGGGGUUGGAAAGUUUCGGCGGUUGGGGAUGGACUCGCGGCUUAUCAGCUUGUUGGUGGGGUAGUGGCUUACCAAGGCUUUGACGGGUAGCCGGCCUGAGAGGGUGACCGGCAACAUUGGGACUGAGAUACGGCCCAGACUCCUACGGGAGGCAGCAGUGGGGAAUAUUGCACAAUGGGCGGAAGCCUGAUGCAGCAACGCCGCGUGCGGGAUGACGGCCUUCGGGUUGUAAACCGCUUUCGCCUGUGACGAAGCGUGAGUGACGGUAAUGGGUAAAGAAGCACCGGCUAACUACGUG